GCAUAGGACCGUUGGAGCCUUGGAUCAAUGGAUGCACAAAAUAAUGCCACAAUGGGUUUGAUUCAUAUUCAAAUUGGGGUUUAUUCUGUUAAACUGUUUUUUUGAUUGUGUUCUUUCACUGUCUUUUUGUUUUCUUUUAAGUUAAGUUUUCUCUCCAACAAGAGUCUCUGGCUUUUCUCAUUUUUGUGAUGUUGUACUGAAAUACUAAGGACCAGUUUAGAUGAUACUGAAAGUCUGAAACAUUUUCACACAACUAGUACAAGUAUAUUCCAUAACUUGUAUUGGAAUAAUCUUAAUGAUAUUAUCUUUAAUUUGCGUUCAUUUUGGGGUGGUAUAUUUUUAGGGUAAAAUAUUGUAUAGUCCUUCUGGUUUGAAGUCGACAUCUGUUUAGCAUCUAAAUAGUCCUUAUGAUUUUAUUUUAAUCUAAAUAGUCUUUAAAGUCAUAAUUUUUCAUCUAAAU
rnacentral:lncRNA from 1 species